UUGAAGAGUUUGAUCAUGGCUCAGAUUGAACGCUGGCGGCAGGCCUAACACAUGCAAGUCGAGCGGUAGCACAGAGAGCUUGCUCUCGGGUGACGAGCGGCGGACGGGUGAGUAAUGUCUGGGAAACUGCCUGAUGGAGGGGGAUAACUACUGGAAACGGUAGCUAAUACCGCAUAACGUCGCAAGACCAAAGUGGGGGACCUUCGGGCCUCAUGCCAUCAGAUGUGCCCAGAUGGGAUUAGCUAGUAGGUGGGGUAACGGCUCACCUAGGCGACGAUCCCUAGCUGGUCUGAGAGGAUGACCAGCCACACUGGAACUGAGACACGGUCCAGACUCCUACGGGAGGCAGCAGUGGGGAAUAUUGCACAAUGGGCGCAAGCCUGAUGCAGCCAUGCCGCGUGUGUGAAGAAGGCCUUCGGGUUGUAAAGCACUUUCAGCGGGGAGGAAGGCGAUAAGGUUAAUAACCUUGUCGAUUGACGUUACCCGCAGAAGAAGCACCGGCUAACUCCGUGCCAGCAGCCGCGGUAAUACGGAGGGUGCAAGCGUUAAUCGGAAUUACUGGGCGUAAAGCGCACGCAGGCGGUCUGUCAAGUCGGAUGUGAAAUCCCCGGGCUCAACCUGGGAACUGCAUUCGAAACUGGCAGGCUAGAGCGGUGAAAUGCGGGGGAGAAUUCCAGGUGUAGCGGUGAAAUGCGUAGAGAUCUGGAGGAAUACCGGUGGCGAAGGCGGCCCCCUGGACAAAGACUGACGCUCAGGUGCGAAAGCGUGGGGAGCAAACAGGAUUAGAUACCCUGGUAGUCCACGCCGUAAACGAUGUCGAUUUGGAGGUUGUGCCCUUGAGGCGUGGCUUCCGGAGCUAACGCGUUAAAUCGACCGCCUGGGGAGUACGGCCGCAAGGUUAAAACUCAAAUGAAUUGACGGGGGCCCGCACAAGCGGUGGAGCAUGUGGUUUAAUUCGAUGCAACGCGAAGAACCUUACCUGGUCUUGACAUCCACAGAACUUAGCAGAGAUGCUUUGGUGCCUUCGGGAACUGUGAGACAGGUGCUGCAUGGCUGUCGUCAGCUCGUGUUGUGAAAUGUUGGGUUAAGUCCCGCAACGAGCGCAACCCUUAUCCUUUGUUGCCAGCGGUCCGGCCGGGAACUCAAAGGAGACUGCCAGUGAUAAACUGGAGGAAGGUGGGGAUGACGUCAAGUCAUCAUGGCCCUUACGACCAGGGCUACACACGUGCUACAAUGGCAUAUACAAAGAGAAGCGACCUCGCGAGAGCAAGCGGACCUCAUAAAGUAUGUCGUAGUCCGGAUUGGAGUCUGCAACUCGACUCCAUGAAGUCGGAAUCGCUAGUAAUCGUAGAUCAGAAUGCUACGGUGAAUACGUUCCCGGGCCUUGUACACACCGCCCGUCACACCAUGGGAGUGGGUUGCAAAAGAAGUAGGUAGCUUAACCUUCGGGAGGGCGCUUACCACUUUGUGAUUCAUGACUGGGGUGAAGUCGUAACAAGGUAACCGUAGGGGAACCUGCGGUUGGAUCACCUCCUU
rnacentral:rRNA from 1 species